CCGCUCGCCCGCCGCGGUGCGGGGCCACAACCCGGCCACCUCGCCGCGGUGCGAGGCGCAGCCUCCCGGCCUACCCCCGCGGGUGAAGAAGCGGCGGCCCGCUCGGGCCUGCGGCAGGCGGGCACCGGCACCGCCGCGUCCCUUGAGGGCAGCGACCCUCAGGCCGCCCGGAGACUGGGACAAAACAUAAGCCAGAAGGUCUGGUACCUGCCGAAAGAAGAUGUCUCGUAUGCCUUGGAUCACAGGACAACUGACAUUGUACCUGCUGAAAGCACAUCAGAGGAGGAGAUUCAGUGAGGACUGAAUGAACCUUUGCGUGGAGCCAUUAUAAUCCCAGCAUCGUUUCUCUUGUGUUUGUGAAGCUUGUAUUAAAGUUAGCCACUGUGUGAAGCAGCAAUAGAGAGAAGCAGUAGCACAAGAGGCUACAGUGAGAGGAAGCAAAUGCUGUAGCUAUCUGGUGUCCACAGCUGCACAGCUCAUCCUUUUCUGGAACAACUGUCUCCGUAUCAGGUCCAGCAGCAUGAGCCUUCCCAGUAUAACACUGCAAUGCAGCAGAAGGGAAGAAGCAUUUAAACUAUCAACACACUCAGAUUUCACAGGAGCAGCACAAGUUAACUUUAUUGGUCACUGUUGAAGAAAUGACAUGGAACUGGAUGGAUCGGUGAAAAAAACCAGUAUUUCCCUUGUUAAAUAUUUAAGUUUACCUUUGUUAGAAGCACAAGCAAUGUGAUAAAUGGAAUGACUUCUUAAAUGAGCUCUGGUGAAAUUGGUAAGUGCUAUUCUAUACUUUUCUGAAGGGUUGUGCAACUUCAAGGCUACUUCUUAGUCAGAACUCUUCACCAGCAGAAAAGCUCUUGGGUAGCUGAAUAUUUUAGACUCUAACCUCAGACAUUUUCUAUGAUGUGAAGGCUUCUUAUGAAGAAAACUGAAUCAAAGUCAGGACUGUGUAUUGCUUGUGGAAUCCUAAUGAGCAAAUUUAGAAUUCAGGAACAUGAAAAGAGUAGUCCCUGAAGCCCAAAUGAAAGCAGCUUUGGAUUUAGAGAAGAUUUUGAUUAGAUUUUCAUACAGUCAUUUAAAAUUACUCGCAUAAUGCAAAGAAUAUGCCAGGGUAUAAUGCAGUAUGAUUGCCAGGGAUGGCAGGCUGGCAAACUGAGCCACUGAACGCUCAAAUGCUUUAGGGAAUUUAAGGUCAAGCUGAAGUGAAAAAUAGACCUGCUUUAAAUUAGCAUAUAACUCUGAGCUACAGACACUUUGUGGCAUAACUGUC